AGUGAACGCUGGCGGUAGGCCUAACACAUGCAAGUCGAACGGCAGCACAGUAAGAGCUUGCUCUUACGGGUGGCGAGUGGCGGACGGGUGAGGAAUACAUCCGAAUCUACUUUUUCGUGGGGGAUAACGUAGGGAAACUUACGCUAAUACCGCAUACGACCUACGGGUGAAAGCAGGGGAUCUUCGGACCUUGCGCGAUUGAAUGAGCCGAUGUCGGAUUAGCUAGUUGGCGGGGUAAAGGCCCACCAAGGCGACGAUCCGUAGCUGGUCUGAGAGGAUGGUCAGCCACACUGGAACUGAGACACGGUCCAGACGCCUACGGGGGGCAGCAGUGGGGAAUAUUGGACAAUGGGCGCAAGCCUGAUCCAGCCAUACCGCGUGGGUGAAGAAGGCGUUCGGGUUGUAAAGCCCUUUUGUUGGGAAAGAAAAGCAGCAGGUUAAUACCCCGCUGUUCUGACGGUACCCAAAGAAUAAGCACCGGCUAACUUCGUG
rnacentral:rRNA from 1 species